AGUAACACGUAAACAACCUGCCUUCAGGAUGGGGACAACAGACGGAAACGACUGCUAAUACCGAAUAAGUUCCAAGAGCCGCAUGGCCCAUGGAAGAAAAGGUGGCCUCUACCUGUAAGCUAUCGCCUGAAGAGGGGUUUGCGUCUGAUUAGCUGGUUGGAGGGGUAACGGGCCCACCAAGGCGACGAUCAGUAGCCGGUCUGAGAGGAUGAACGGCCACACUGGAACUGAGACACGGUCCAGACUCCUACGGGAGGCAGCAUG
rnacentral:rRNA from 1 species